ensembl:lncRNA
ACACACACACACACUCACACAGACAUACACACACACACACACACACACACACACACACACACACACACACAGCACCCCCCAGAACCGCACAAACACACACACACACACACACACACACACACACACACACACACACACACACACACACACACACACACACACACACACACACACACACACACACACGUGCUGACACUGCUCCGCACCUUCAGAAGUCCGUACGCGGACAAGUAGAGAAGGAAUAAAAGCGAAAGUGGCGCACGGUAGCAAAAUCUUACGGCUCGAAGGUGAUGAAACCAUGAAGGAGGAAGAUAAGGAAGAGUAGAGAGCGGGAGAAACCGGGAGACACCGGGAACGGCGUUCCGGUAACGGACCUUCUAGGAGAGCGUCGAAGCGGACGAUGGGCAACUCUUCCUUCCCAGGGCGUGAGAAGAGAAAGGGUCACAUGAUUUCAGCGGGUGAUGUCGAGUUCCCGCGGGAGUACCACACGCUGGCGGACCGCGGCCGCGGCGCCCGGCGUUUCAACGACAACGCCGCCAACGGGGCUUCUCCUGCUCGUCUCUGGACCGGCGAGGCAACGCCCGGAGUCUGGAGGCCCUAAGCACCUCCCACACGGCCGAGGCGGAGCGCCAACGCCAUGGCCUCCUGGACAAGCACAAAGUACCCAGCAGCCCUUGCAGUGCGCCCGCCUCCCAGCUCUCCACCCCUGCCAGACAGCAGCAACAACCAAACUACUGGAGUUUCAAGGUCAGUAGGAGUCAUGUGUGUUUAACUGUUACUUGUGUAUUUUGUUUGUGAAGUGUUUCUAUCGUUUCUGUGUCAUUGUUGUACUGUGGGUAUAAUAUAUUUAUCUGUGUUCAAGCAUUGCUUUAGUCUGUGUAUCUGGUUUAAGCCUUUCUAUAUUCUGUAUCUAUGUUAGAGUGUUGCUUCAGUCUGUUUAUCUGUGUUUGAGUGUUGCUUUAGUCUUUGUAUCUGUGUCUGAGUGAAAGUUUAGUCUGUUUAUCUGUGUUUGAGUGUUGCUUCUGUUUAUCAAUGUUUGUUGCUUUAAUCUCUACUAUCUAUUUUUAAGUGUUGGAUUAGUCUGUUUAUUUGUGUUUGUUGCUUUAGUCUUUACAACUGUGUUUGAGUGUUGCUGUAGUUUGUCUACCUGUGUUUGAGUGUUGCUUAAAUACGUUUUUGUGGGUUUAAAAAGUCUUCUUUUGUCAGGUAAUAUCCGUUUGAGUCUUG